ACUCCAUGGCCAUGGUGGCCAGUGACUUCUCCCUCCUGGAGACCGUGGAGGCCCCUCUGAGGGUCAACAUCACCUCGCUGUGGCCCACCCCCGAGGGCAACCUGGAGAUCAUUCUGCACAGAUGGUCGCGGGACAAGAAAGAUCUCUGUGUUGGACACAGACUAGACGA
rnacentral:lncRNA from 1 species